rnacentral:rRNA from 1 species
AAACUAACAAGGAUUCCCCUAGUAGCGGCGAGCGAAGCGGGAAGAGCUCAAAUUUAUAAUCUGGCACCUUCGGUGUCCGAGUUGUAAUCUCUAGAAAUGUUUUCCGCGUUGGACCGCACACAAGUCUGUUGGAAUACAGCGGCAUAGUGGUGAGACCCCCGUAUAUGGUGCGGACGCCCAGCGCUUUGUGAUACAUUUUCGAAGAGUCGAGUUGUUUGGGAAUGCAGCUCAAAUUGGGUGGUAAAUUCCAUCUAAAGCUAAAUAUUGGCGAGAGACCGAUAGCGAACAAGUACCGUGAGGGAAAGAUGAAAAGCACUUUGGAAAGAGAGUUAACAGUACGUGAAAUUGUUGGAAGGGAAACGCUUGAAGUCAGACUUGCUUGCCGAGCAAUCGGUUUGCAGGCCAGCAUCAGUUUUCCGGGAUGGAUAAUGGUAGAGAGAAGGUAGCAGUUUCGGCUGUGUUAUAGCUCUCUGCUGGAUACAUCUUGGGGGACUGAGGAACGCAGUGUGCCUUUGGCGGGGGUUUCGACCUCUUCACACUUAGGAUGCUGGUGGAAUGGCUUUAAACGACCCGUCUUGAAACACG